UACGUAGGGGGCAAGCGUUGUCCGGAAUCAUUGGGCGUAAAGCGCGUGUAGGCGGCCAGAAAAGUCCGCUGUGAAAUCUCGGGGCUCAACCCCGAGCGGUCGUGAGAAACUGGCAGGCUAGAGUGCGGGAGAGGAGAGUGGAAUUCCUGGUGUAGCGGUGAAAUGCGCAGAUAUCAGGAAGAACACCCGUGGCGAAGGCGGCUCUCUGGAACGCAACUGACGCUGAGACGCGAAAGCGUGGGGAGCAAACAGG
rnacentral:rRNA from 1 species